AAAGGAUAAGAGGGUGCCUUUAAGCACUGAGAGGAGAGUGAACUCAGAGAUUGCAUAGGUUUUCAAAUUCCUCAGAAGAGUGAAGGAAUAGUUUAUGGGAUUGAAAAGGAGAGUGAGGAAGAUAUUGGCUGAUGUCGUGGAUAAGCUUUCACAAAUGCUUCAUCAGAUCGAUCAAAUCCAAGCUUGGGAAUUGACUACCAUCUUGAAAGUGAAAUAGACGAGCAAAUCCAAAAAAAUUACUCUCAACUUGAUCAAGGAGAUGUUGAGUGAGGUGACCAUAUGGUGGCUCUUAUUGCGACAACAAGGAUGCAAUGUUUCAUGGGGUAUGUUUAAAUUUACCGAGCUUAUCUGAUAAGAUACCCAUGGAAAUCCUUCUUUGGAAAAUUAAUGCUGCAAAAAAACUAUUGCUCAGUGAAAUUUUGAAAUGUAAUUGAUUAGAAACUAGGAAGGUGAUACGCCUGGUCUUUUUUCUGUUAAAAUUUGACUCAGCAAUAUUAAAUUUUGUGGCAUCAAUUUUCCAAAGAAGAAUUUUUAUGGGUAUCUUAUCGGAUUGCUUCACUAAAUUUUAAACGUAACCAAUGACGUGUGGCAACUCGUUGUCACAGCAAUCAAAGAUAAAGAGCCACUACGUGAAAAUCAUCUCCCUUAGGGAGUCUCCUUGAUUAAGUUGAGAGAUCUAAGCCUGGAUUUGAUCGAUCAGGUGGGGCAUUUGUUUUGAUAGCAUGGAUGGACCACCGAAAUGUAUGCAAACUUGUUGCAAGGUGCUCCUCGAUCUCUACGAUCAAAAUGGGUAAGAAGUGGCCGUGAAAGGAAGAUCAUACAAAAUUAACCGUAAGCAUCUUUGGCACACUUGACAUGCAUGGAAUGCAAUUUUCACUCAGAAACCCAGCAUUCUAGUUCAUGUUUAAUUCUUCAAAUGAAGAAGAAAGCAAGAUUGUACUUUCACGAAAGCCAAAUGGUUCCACACCAACCGUACACCAACCCUAGAGGAGUACAUGCCCCUUGCCCUUAGAGGUCACAUCAGUUGUGGGAAUGGGUGAUGUGAUCAUAAAACAUGCUUUUGGAUAGUUGUUUGGUUAUUGCUAGAUUUGAAAGGCUUUGAAAAUCAUCUGUAGGCUUAUAAAUGAUGUUCCCACUCA